CCACGGGGGCUGGGAGGGCAUCCUGGCUGUUUCACCCGUGGACUUGAACUUGCCAUUGGACUGAGCUCUUUCUCAGAAGCUGCUACAAGAUGACACCUCAUGUCCCUGCCCUCUUCGUGUGCUUUUCCAAGUCUUCCUAUUCCACUCAGGGCUGUGGGGUGGUGGUUGCCCUACCUGUUUUUGCCAAAAAUAAAUUGUUUAAAACUUUUCUUAUUAAAAACGUUACAAAGUA
rnacentral:circRNA from 1 species